UCCCUCCAAAUCCCUUUCCCAUCAGAUCUGAAUACCGAUCUUGUGGUCGAAAAAGGAGGAAGAGUAACAUUCAUGCUGGUCUUGGGCUCUCUGCAGGUGUGUCCUGGCUGAGAGGGGC